GCGGAUGUGGCGGAACUGGUAGACGCGCUAGCCUCAGGAGCUAGUGUCAGCAAUGACGUGAUGGUUCGAAUCCAUUCAUCCGCA
rnacentral:tRNA from 1 species